rnacentral:sRNA from 1 species
GAAGAAAAAACCAUAAUCCAUAAAAUGAAACUUGUAUACCUUAAAACAUUCUUUACACAAAUCCAUUUUACUCUUAUUCAGGCACAAUGUUAUACACUUAUACUGUCUUAAACCAUUGACUUUACAACUUGUUUUUACAGAGGAAUGUUGAAAAAUGAUGUGUGCAUUGGUUGGCACUUUGAUGUAUUGGGAGGUUUUGUUAUGCCAAAUAUGAUAAAGAAUUUGUUGUCCAUGAUUUCUCCGCGAUGAAACUUUGACCAAGGGACAACAAGAUCACUUUCUGUGGAAGCACAUUCUGUAGUACAUGUAUUCAUACUUCACAGCUCUCACUCCAACUGUUAAAUUUUGUAGUGGUAUGUGUAGUAGUUAAUUUUCAAAUUGACCUCAUUAUGGAAGGGAGGUAAAUCAUGCUAUGCAAAAAAAAGGAUAGGGCAUUUAAAACAGCCUGCAUUGUUUAAUCACGUGAAGAUUGUUGAACACUUAAAGCAGUAUUUUUUUUUGUUAUAGAAAGUUAAUUUGCAGAACUUGAAGUACAUUAUGACAUGAUUUUUGUUAGAUUAGAAAAAUAUUGUCUUGCUGACGAUGAAAUAUAAAUGUUAACAAUGUUUCUAAAACUUUUGCUAUAACAUUAGUUAUAAUAUCAGGUACAUUUUUCCUUUGAUGAAACUUCCUUUUCACCAUUUGUACUUGUGCCUGAAAAGAGUUUGCCUUUUGAUUUUCUAAUGGAUGUAUAGAACAUCUUAUAGCUGUCCAUUCUAUUACUGUUUAUGAUAAUCAUCACAGAAAUUGAUGCUGAUAAAAAUUGAGUAAGGGUUUGGUUGUUCAGAGAUAGUUUAAUGUAAAUUAGGGAAUAAGUUAAAUCAACUUUGUUAAAUCAACACGAUGUGGGGUAAAAAAAAUUAAGGUUACAACCCACUCCAAGUAGAUCUGAGUUCAAACCAUAUCAACUAAAGCUAGAGGGUUUCCCCUAAUAUCUUAUAAAGUUGAUCCAAAUUUCAUCAGUGUGGUGCAUUCCUCUAGACUGAAUGAUUUUGUAUCUUGUGACCAUUGGUAGUUGAUUGGAUAUGAUUGUUUCCUUUAUCAUUUGUAGCAAUAGGUGAGAGACCUGUUACUAAUCAGUGAGGGUAGCUGGCCCAGGGCCACGCUCUACUACCAAUCAGCAGAAACUUUGUACAUCCAGAUCGAUUGUUUAUACAGGUUUUAUUUUUUGCUUCACUGCAGCUAUUUCGUAUUGAAAUAAAAGACUGCAAUUUG